rnacentral:lncRNA from 1 species
AGAUGGAAUCUCACUCAGUUGCCCAGGGUGGAGUGUAGUGGUGCUAUCUUGGCUCACUGCAACCUCCGCCUCCCGCGUUCAAGUGAUUCUCCCACCUUAGCCUCCCAAGUAGCUGGGAUUAACAGGUGUGCACCACCACGCCCAGCUGAUUUUUGUAUUUUCAGUGGAGGCAGGGUUUCACCGUGUUGGCCAGGCUGGUCUUGAACUCCUGACCUCAGGUGAUCCACCCACCUUGGCUUCCCAAAGUGCUGGGAUUACAGGCAUGAGCCACCGCACCCGGCCCUAUCUCAAGCUUCUUAACUGCACCUGCUAAAUCCCUUUUGCCAUGUAAGGUAACGUACCAACGGUUUCAGAGAUUAGGAUGUGGACAUUUUGGGGGGCUGUUUUUCUGCCUGCAAUACCUGCUCUCCAGUGAAUCCAUGUUUAGUGGAGGACAACAUUUGAGGCACUUACAUGGAUGCUAGGGGACAUAUAUGUGAAUGUUAGGCAAAAGUGCUGCCUGAAGCCAGAAAAUACCUUUUUAAUAUUAGUUUUUUUCACCCAAUUUGAUGUGUUAUUGUAUCCAACUUAAAAUACAUGAACUAAUAAAAUCAGAUUUUUUUCA